UCCGGGCAUUCUUCGCCACGCUGUUGCACUAUCGCGAACAGACUACUAAGACAGGAGAUCUCACGAUGGCCACCGGCACCGUGAAAUGGUUCAACACCACCAAAGGCUUCGGCUUCAUUGCUCCCGAUACGGGCGGCAAGGACGUUUUCGUUCACAUCUCUGCCGUUGAGCGUGCGGGCCUCACCGGUCUGUCCGACGACCAGAAGGUUAGCUACGAGCUGCAGUCCGGCCGUGAUGGCCGUGAGUCGGCGGGCAACCUCGAACUCAUCUGAUACUCAGGUUUACGGCGGCGUCGUUCCGACGCUGCCGGACCU
rnacentral:misc_RNA from 1 species